UUCGCUUGCAAGCUUCGUUGCGUUCGCACGCCUUUUUCUGGCUCCCGUUGUCUCGCGUUCCGUCGUUGCUCUGGUGCCCUGGACUGCUGUGAAUGUGUUUUUAUGCCCUACUAGUGUUGCCUGGGGGUGCUUUUAUGUGUGCACCCUGGAAGAUAGGUCCAGAAGCCUUGCGAUUUCUUAGAUUAAAGGUUAGUUCUAUGUUUGUACGAUUCGUGCAACUUUUGUUUGGUAUCAUUCCUAGCGUGUGGGUUCUAUUACUUUAUGCUAGCAGUGUGAUUAUUACCCUUUUGAUUCCUAUUACCCUAUGCUUUAUCUUUCAGCUAAGUGUACUCGUGACCCUACCAGCACUUUUCAAGAUACUUUCGACGUAUUCAUUGCGGUGAACAACGCGGUUGGGACAGCACACUCACGACGUGGGAAGGUCACAGAAAUGUUGAAAGACAUCAGAUGUGUGGAAACGUCGUAGCGGAUGAAUGUGAAUUAUGGAUCUCCAAGUGGCGUCGCCCGCGUCAUUUUCAAGAUUUUACCCGUUUUGAAGGCAAUAGGGCUGUUGAUAGGGAGAAUGCUAAGCUACUGCAGACUGCAACCAUAGGCGCUGUGUCUAAAGGUUAAGCUCACAUGACGCGGCAGGGAAGGGAGUCCAUGGCGAAAAG